GGAUGAACGCUGGCGGCGUGCCUAAUACAUGCAAGUCGAACGAGUUCUCGUUGAUGAUCGGUGCUUGCACCGAGAUUCAACAUGGAACGAGUGGCGGACGGGUGAGUAACACGUGGGUAACCUGCCCUUAAGUGGGGGAUAACAUUUGGAAACAGAUGCUAAUACCGCAUAGAUCCAAGAACCGCAUGGUUCUUGGCUGAAAGAUGGCGUAAGCUAUCGCUUUUGGAUGGACCCGCGGCGUAUUAGCUAGUUGGUGAGGUAACGGCUCACCAAGGCGAUGAUACGUAGCCGAACUGAGAGGUUGAUCGGCCACAUUGGGACUGAGACACGGCCCAAACUCCUACGGGAGGCAGCAGUAGGGAAUCUUCCACAAUGGACGCAAGUCUGAUGGAGCAACGCCGCGUGAGUGAAGAAGGCUUUCGGGUCGUAAAACUCUGUUGUUGGGGAAGAAUGGUCGGCAGAGUAACUGUUGUCGGCGUGACGGUAUCCAACCAGAAAGCCACGGCUAACUACGUGCCAGCAGCCGCGGUAAUACGUAGGUGGCAAGCGUUAUCCGGAUUUAUUGGGCGUAAAGCGAGCGCAGGCGGUUUUUUAAGUCUGAUGUGAAAGCCCUCGGCUUAACCGAGGAAGCGCAUCGGAAACUGGGAAACUUGAGUGCAGAAGAGGACAGUGGAACUCCAUGUGUAGCGGUGAAAUGCGUAGAUAUAUGGAAGAACACCAGUGGCGAAGGCGGCUGUCUGGUCUGUAACUGACGCUGAGGCUCGAAAGCAUGGGUAGCGAACAGGAUUAGAUACCCUGGUAGUCCAUGCCGUAAACGAUGAAUGCUAGGUGUUGGAGGGUUUCCGCCCUUCAGUGCCGCAGCUAACGCAUUAAGCAUUCCGCCUGGGGAGUACGACCGCAAGGUUGAAACUCAAAGGAAUUGACGGGGGCCCGCACAAGCGGUGGAGCAUGUGGUUUAAUUCGAAGCAACGCGAAGAACCUUACCAGGUCUUGACAUCUUUUGAUCACCUGAGAGAUCAGGUUUCCCCUUCGGGGGCAAAAUGACAGGUGGUGCAUGGUUGUCGUCAGCUCGUGUCGUGAGAUGUUGGGUUAAGUCCCGCAACGAGCGCAACCCUUAUGACUAGUUGCCAGCAUUUAGUUGGGCACUCUAGUAAGACUGCCGGUGACAAACCGGAGGAAGGUGGGGAUGACGUCAAAUCAUCAUGCCCCUUAUGACCUGGGCUACACACGUGCUACAAUGGAUGGUACAACGAGUUGCGAGACCGCGAGGUCAAGCUAAUCUCUUAAAGCCAUUCUCAGUUCGGACUGUAGGCUGCAACUCGCCUACACGAAGUCGGAAUCGCUAGUAAUCGCGGAUCAGCACGCCGCGGUGAAUACGUUCCCGGGCCUUGUACACACCGCCCGUCACACCAUGAGAGUUUGUAACACCCGAAGCCGGUGGCGUAACCCUUUUAGGGAGCGAGCCGUCUAAGGUGGGACAAAUGAUUAGGGUGAA
rnacentral:rRNA from 1 species